rnacentral:tRNA from 2 species
UCCCUGGUAGUCUAGUGGUUACGAUUCAGCACUCUCACUGCUGUGUUCUGGGUUCGAUUCCCGGUCAGGGAA